UAGGGAAUCUUCGGCAAUGGGGGCAACCCUGACCGAGCAACGCCGCGUGAGUGAUGAAGGUUUUCGGAUCGUAAAGCUCUGUCUUUGGGAAAGAUAAUGACGGUACCCAAGGAGGAAGCCACGGCUAACUACGUGCCAG
rnacentral:rRNA from 1 species